CCAGUGCCAGGGAUCAGGGGUAAGGAGAACGGAGAAUGACUACUUAACAGGUACAGGGUCUCCUUUUUUGGAGUGAUAAAAAUGUUCUGGAAUUUGAUAGUGGUGAUGGUUGCAUAACAUUGUGAAGGUACUGAAAGUCACUGAAUUAUACAGUUUGAAAUGAUUUAUUUCCCUCCAGAACCUGACCAUGCUGGCACCCUGAUCUCAGACUUCCAGCCUCCAGAACUGUAAGGAAAUCAAUUUCUGUUGUGCAAGCCACCCAGUCUGUGGUAUUUUGUUACGGCAGCCUGAGCUGACGAAGACGAAGGUCUGAAAUAUAAUCACAAAAUGACACAGUUAUGUUUGUUAUGGCUCCUUUAUCAAAUAAAAUGCAAUGUGAUCAUUGAUAUCAGGGAGAUCUGUAGAAGAUACAAAGAGCACAGAGAAGAAUGGAGCCUCACAGCUCUGGGGAAAUCAAGAAAGCCUUCGUUGAGAAGAUGAUCUUGCAUUGAGUUCUCCAGGAGUUUAAGAUUCUUUGCUGCCAUUUCUAGGGAUAUGCGGCAGGAGUGGAUACAGCUUUGUGUUCUCAGAGAACCAUCUUGAUCCAUUUGCUGGAGCAUUCCUUGUUGAAGAAGCUGGGGAUCUAGUGAUGAACAACACAGAAAUCCAUCUAUUCAUGGAGUUUGUAUUCCAGAGCAUGGUGAAACUCAAUUCAAAGAAUCGUAGAAGGGAAGCUGAAAAGAAGACAAAGACUCAAGUUGGAACGUUCUUUCACUAACUCUGGA
rnacentral:lncRNA from 1 species